UCGGGAAUUUUGCGCAAUGGACGAAAGUCUGACGCAGCAACGCCGCGUGAGGGAUGAAGGCCUUCGGGUUGUAAACCUCUUUUGUCAGGGACGAUGAUGACGGUACCUGACGAAUAAGCCACGGCUAACUACGUGCCAGCAGCCGCGGUAAUACGUAGGUGGCAAGCGUUGUCCGGAUUUACUGGGCGUAAAGAGCGCGCAGGCGGUCGUUCAAGUCGCGUGUGAAAGCCCCCGGCUCAACUGGGGAGGGUCACGCGAUACUGGUCGACUCGAAGGCAGGAGAGGGUAGUGGAAUUCCCGGUGUAGUGGUGAAAUGCGUAGAUAUCGGGAGGAACACCAGUGGCGAAGGCGACUACCUGGCCUGUUUCUUGACGCUGAGGCGCGAAAGCUAGGGGGAGCAAACGGGAUUAGAUACCCCGGUAGUCCUAGCCGUAAACGAUGGACACUAGGUGUCGGUGGUAUCAACCCCGCCAGUGCCGAAGCUAACGCAUUAAGUGUCCCG
rnacentral:rRNA from 1 species